AUCCAUCUGAUGAGUUCAAAAUGGGACGAAACGCGCGUUCUGAAU
rnacentral:hammerhead_ribozyme from 1 species